rnacentral:rRNA from 1 species
UACGAAGGGGGCUAGCGUUGUUCGGAAUUACUGGGCGUAAAGCGCGCGCAGGUGGUCUUUCAAGUCAGUGGUGAAAGCCCGGAGCUCAACUCCGGAAAUGCCAUUGAAACUGUGAGACUUGAGGACGAGAGAGGUGAGUGGAAUUCCCAGUGUAGAGGUGAAAUUCGUAGAUAUUGGGAAGAACACCGGUGGCGAAGGCGGCUCACUGGAUAGUAUCUGACGCUCAGGCGCGAAAGCGUGGGGAGCAAACAGG